ACCCUGUUUCUUUUCCAUGUUAGUUUGUUUUUUCUCUAUUAGGACUUGCAUUGUCUGCAUCAGAAGAAAGUUCUCAUGCAAGUCACUUUGGACGGCCACCAUGUAGUAGAAUAGGUAGAAAAACUCUUUUAAGGAUGUGUCAUCAACCACCACCACCACCUAAUUUUGAUCUUAGUAUGAAAUGGUCCUUCUUGUACGUACAUACAUCAGAACAGAUGAGGGAGCGUGCAAGGUAUUCAAUCCCUUGAGUCGAAGAGACAAUGAUGACUUCAACUACCAGCUUUUGGGACUGAUAAAUACAUGUAAAACAAUAGGUUUCUCUCCCUAGAAAUUAGUCCCCCGUGGUUGUCAAGUUCCCUACAGUUGGUCCACAUGCCCAUUCAAUGCCAUUAAGAGGCCAUGUGAAGUGUUGGAGUUCUCACACGAUCCUAUCUCCCUCCCUCCCUAGGGUGCCCUAUCUCCUGCACAGAGUUCCAGAAAUCAUCUUUCCAUCAACUCAGGAUUAAAAAUAUCAUAAGCAUAUAUAUUGCAUCAACCACAAGAGAGUGGGUGAUCUUUUUGAAACUCUGCUUCUAAUCCUAAUUGUCUGGUCGAGAGAAUGCAGUCAGUCUCAGCUGCCGGCGUCGUCUUCUUGCUCCGCUCCCUUGUAUCUUCCAGAGUUGGUUCCACCACUUGACACUCGAUCUGAUGACAGUGAAUCGAGAGGUUCCAUGUGUCGCAGUUGGGUUUGUGUAGUUUAAUUAGGUUGUCUCAUUGGUCUGAACCACAUGAAUCUUAGAAUUUAGCCUUAGAUAUUGUCUCAUUAGGGGACAUGGAUUACCCUCGAACACUAGUAGCGUAUCUAAGCUGUCCUUGGGCGAAGCUAGGUUAGAGUUGUUGGUCUAUUUUGUCGACAUAAGAAAUAACAGGCAAACUAAGCGUGUCAGUGGGCGAAAGACGAUCUGAUCUGUUCUGCUUCCUCCGUGUCGAUUGCAACACGAGUACCAACCCGUGGCAGGUUUUCAGAUGUGGAUGGUUUCUGGGCAUCGACCCGUGAGGCCUUGAUGCUCUGAGAACAGCAAUGCCCACCUGCAAUCCUCUCUCUUUCCUCUUUCUUUUUUCUAGCCUGGUUUGACCGAGACAGGAGGAGUCACGAUUCAGCAUGAAUUCAUUUCUGCAAGGUGGUGUGGUACCCUUGGGUGCACCUCGGCCUCCAUCAUUGCAGGCAGGCUUGCAGCUGCCACCAUGAAAGCUCGAGUGCAGCAGAAGUUGGAAUUCUGAAUGCCAAAGGCGUGCCUUGAAUCGGAAACCUUAUUCUGGUGACUUGGUUAAUGCUUCGGUAGGCACAAGAUUAAUCUCACUACUUUUCGCAGUCUGUUCGCAUAUCGGACUGACUACAGACAAUAAUGCCAACCACUGUUCCGGUUGAUGGAUCAGUGGAUUCCGGCCACAUGCUCAUAAAUGAAGAUGACAAGAACCGAAAGAAACCCAACUGCAGGCACACAUCAAGAUGUAGACGGGGAUGAUCACAUCCAAUCAAAUGCUUCCCCUCCUCUCGAGAGAAGUCAUCAGAGCUUCCCUCUCGGAUAAAGCCUAGAUCGAUCGCUAGAAGAAGAAGAAGAAGAAGAAGUACAGAAAGAUUCACAGCACUCGAGCAAAAGGGACUCACUCAGGGGAACAAGAAUUGACAGAGUCAACCCUUCUCCAGCACAAGGAUUAAAAGAAAGGAACAAAAAAAGAUGAAGGAGCUCUUGCUCAAGAAUCAAACAGUCACAGUGUAAUAACAUCAUCAAUCAACUAUUAACAGCAUCAUUACAGCAAAAUAGAGCCAAUCAUCAUAGGAGGAGGACAUCAACAACAAGUAAUUUAAUUGCCAAGCUACAGCUAGAUAAGGACAUGUUCAUUUAUUGGUUUAGGAAUGUGUCAGAGAAUUGCAACAGCAACAGAUUGAUGACUACUCGAUGAAACUUCACUAAAA